UGCCAGCCGCCGCGGUAAUACGGAGGGUGCAAGCGUCAUCCGGAAUCACUGGGUUUAAAGGGUGCGUAGGCGGCGUCAUAAGUCAGAAGUGAAAUCCCACGGCUCAACCGUGGAACUGCUUUUGAUACUGUGGCACUUGAAUUAGGCUGAGGUUAGCGGAAUGUGACAUGUAGCGGUGAAAUGCAUAGAUAUGUCAUAGAACACCAAUUGCGAAGGCAGCUGACUAGACCUAUAUUGACGCUGAGGCACGAAAGCGUGGGGAGCGAACAGGAUUAGAUA
rnacentral:rRNA from 1 species